rnacentral:rRNA from 1 species
AUUGUGAACUUACCAAACGUUCCCUCGGCGGGCUCAGCGCGCGGCGGCCUCCGGGCCUCCGGGCGUCCGCCGGGGAAAACCAAACCCUGAUUUAAUCGUAUUUUCUGAGGGGCGAAAGCCCGAAAACAAAAUGAAUCAAAACUUUCAACAACGGAUCUCUUGGCUCUGGCAUCGAUGAAGAACGCAGCGAAAUGCGAUAAGUAAUGUGAAUUGCAGAAUUCAGUGAAUCAUCGAAUCUUUGAACGCACAUUGCGCCCGCCGGCACUCCGGCGGGCAUGCCUGUCCGAGCGUCAUUUCAACCCUCAGGCCCACCCUUCCGGGGGAGCGGGCCUGGUGCUGGGGAUCGGCGGCCCUCGCGGCCCCCGUCCCCCAAAUUCAGUGGCGGUCGCGCCGCAGCCUCCCCUGCGUAGUAGCACAACCUCGCACCGGAGAGCGGAACGACCACGCCGUGAAACCCCC